CAAAUUAGAGCUUGAAAUAAGUAUUUCAUUUACAUUGAAAUGAUAAUGAUAUAAUCAUUUAAUUUGA
rnacentral:tRNA from 2 species